rnacentral:lncRNA from 1 species
CAGCCGCCCCCCGCGGCAGGCACCCCCUCCCCCCUCCCCCCACCCCCGCCUCCGUGGAGCGAGCAGCGGCCCGCCCCGCCCCCCGCCCCCCGCCCGGGCUGCAGUGCCCCUGCCAGCCGCGAGGGGGCGACAGCGUCCCGCGAAGACCCGCGCCGGCCCCGGGUGCGGCGCCGCAGCCCGGAGGAUUCAAGGGGCGCGUCUGCACCAGCGCCGCCCGACCCCCGCGGCCCCAGGCUCUCCCGGUCAUCCCCGCCGAGGCCCGGCGCUCGUCCUGGGGACGCGGGCCGGGACCACGAGCACGCCCGAGUCCCGCAGCGCUUCCGGGGGGCGUCCCCGCCCCGCUCGCGGCCUCUGACCCGCCCGACCGGCCCCAGGCCGGGAGCCCGCGGCCCGCCCGCUCCGCCCCGGGGCCCUCCGCGCAGGCGCGGCCGGCCGCGGUUCCCAUGGCGACGGGGGCGCGUCCCCGCCCGAGGCCCCGCCCCCAGCAGGCUAGGCUGCGCGGGGCCGCGGCGGCGCGGGCAGGUGCCGCGGGCGGCGGGCAGGUGGCGGCGCGGCGCGGGCCGGCGGCGGCGGCUGCGGGGUAGGUUGUGCGGCGGCCGCCGGCCGCGGGGGGGCUGUGUGCCGCGGGGGCCGGGCGCCGGAGGGGCUGGGGGCGGCGGUGGGCGACGGCCGCCAAGUUUCUGCUCGGCUGAGGCCCCGGGAGAAAAGUUGGCAAAGUUGGCCGGGGAAGAGGUGGGGACCCGGCGGGUCUCCCGGGCCCCUGUCUGCGUGGAGGGGGUCCCGAUCCGGGAGCCAGGGCGUCUGUCUCCCGAGACUUGGGAGUGGAUCCCGCGGGAAGAUCCCGCGCUGGGCAGCCAAUGGGUCCCGCGCCGCCAGGCUGAGGACUUGGGGAGUGGAUCCCAGGAGUGGACCGGGCGCCGGCGGCCUGAGGUCCCAUUCGACCUCCAGCCUGGGGGUGGCGGGGGUCGGCGGCUGCAGACCCGGAGCUCCUGGGCUCUCCCUCACCGCUACGCUUGUCCGAGCCUCGGCAGUGGAUUCCGAGAGGAGAUCUGGUGGCCGGGAGCUGGGGGAUCGCCGGGGAUCCGGUACCCAGCCCGGAGCGGCUAG